rnacentral:rRNA from 1 species
CCUACGGGGGGCUGCAGUGGGGAAUAUUGCACAAUGGGCGCAAGCCUGAUGCAGCCAUGCCGCGUGUGUGAAGAAGGCCUUCGGGUUGUAAAGCACUUUCAGCGGGGAGGAAGGCGGUGAGGUUAAUAACCUCAUCGAUUGACGUUACCCGCAGAGGAAGCACCGGCUAACUCCGUGCCAGCAGCCGCGGUAAUACGGAGGGUGCAAGCGUUAAUCGGAAUUACUGGGCGUAAAGCGCACGCAGGCGGUCUGUCAAGUCGGAUGUGAAAUCCCCGGGCUCAACCUGGGAACUGCAUUCGAAACUGGCAGGCUAGAGUCUUGUAGAGGGGGGUAGAAUUCCAGGUGUAGCGGUGAAAUGCGUAGAGAUCUGGAGGAAUACCGGUGGCGAAGGCGGCCCCCUGGACAAAGACUGACGCUCAGGUGCGAAAGCGUGGGGAGCAAACAGGAUUAGAUACCCGAGUAGUC